GCUAACUACGUGCCAGCAGCCGCGGUAAAACGUAGGAGGCGAGCGUUAUCCGGAUUUACUGGGUGUAAAGCGCGUGCAGGCGGUCGGCUAAGUUGGGUGUGAAAGCUCCCGGCUCAACUGGGAGAGGUCGCUCAAGACUGGCCGACUGGAGAGCAGUAGGGGAAGGUGGAAUUCCGGGUGUAGUGGUGAAAUGCGUAGAUAUCCGGAGGAACACCAGUGGCGAAGGCGGCCUUCUAGACUGCAUCUGACGCUCAGACGCGAAAGCUAGGGUAGCAAACGGGAUUAGAUACCCUGGUAGUC
rnacentral:rRNA from 1 species